rnacentral:lncRNA from 1 species
GGCAGUAAAACAACGUCUGGUUCGUUUGAUCGUAUAAUCUCAACUCAAUAUAGUAACAUGAUACAUAACAAUAGAACAACGUUAACAGAAGAUAUGAUGACGUUAACAAUGUGAAUGGAAACGGCGUUAAAAGUAGUGUUAACGUUUGACGCGUAAGUUAAACUGUCUCUAAAUCACCGACAUACUCGGGGCCACCAGAUGCAAUGUCCAUUAGCUGUGAUAUAUAGUGGCAUGCGGAAAGAACAAAAAUAGAUUGAUCUCACAAAUAAUUAAAAAAAUAUUAAAUUAUUAGAUUACGUAAAAAACUCUUUGAAUUUGACAGUCUUUUCACAAAUAAGAAAAAUUAACAAGUCUGUUCACACACGUUAGUUUCUUCGUUC